rnacentral:lncRNA from 1 species
AAGACCAAACUGCAUGCUUACUGCACUACAGAUUAGUACCUUCUCAUUUUGCUCUGGUCAACUCUGGUGGCAUUGAGGUAGAGAGCUGAUAGACAAAACCAAGCAUCGGAAUCUGAAGCUAGGCUGUUUAAUGUAAGUUCCAAUGAAUAAUUUUAUACAAAAUAUUGUAUUUUAGUCGAGUGGUUAAUAAAUAGUUAUAUAAAA